AUGCUUACCUGGCAGGGAAGAUACCAUGAUCACAAAGGUAGUUUUCCCAGGGCGAGGCUUAUCCAUUGCACUUGGGAUGUGCUUCCCCCUUCAAUUUCCCCAAAUGCGGGAAACUCGACUGCAUAAUUUGUGGUAGUGGGGGACUGUGUUUGCGCUCUCCCCUG
rnacentral:snRNA from 1 species